AGUGAACGCUGGCGGUAGGCCUAACACAUGCAAGUCGAACGGCAGCACAGUAAGAGCUUGCUCUUACGGGUGGCGAGUGGCGGACGGGUGAGGAAUACAUCGGAAUCUACUUUUUCGUGGGGGAUAACGUAGGGAAACUUACGCUAAUACCGCAUACGACCUACGGGUGAAAGCAGGGGAUCUUCGGACCUUGCGCGAUUGAAUGAGCCGAUGUCGGAUUAGCUAGUUGGCGGGGUAAAGGCCCACCAAGGCGACGAUCCGUAGCUGGUCUGAGAGGAUGAUCAGCCACACUGGAACUGAGACACGGUCCAGACUCCUACGGGAGGCAGCAGUGGGGAAUAUUGGACAAUGGGCGCAAGCCUGAUCCAGCCAUACCGCGUGGGUGGAGAAGGCCUUCGGGUUGUGAAGCCCUUUUGUUGGGAAAGAAAAGCAGCAGGUUAAUACCCCGCUGUUCUGACGGUACCCAAAGAAUAAGCACCGGCUAACUACGUG
rnacentral:rRNA from 1 species